GACGAACGCUGGCGGCGUGCUUAACACAUGCAAGUCGAACGGAAAGGCCCUGCUUUUGUGGGGUGCUCGAGUGGCGAACGGGUGAGUAACACGUGAGUAACCUGCCCUUGACUUUGGGAUAACUUCAGGAAACUGGGGCUAAUACCGGAUAGGAGCUCCUGCUGCAUGUUGGGGGUUGGAAAGUUUCGGCGGUUGGGGAUGUACUCGCGGCUUAUCAGCUUGUUGGUGGGGUAGUGGCUUACCAAGGCUUUGACGGGUAGCCGGCCUGAGAGGGUGACCGGCCACAUUGGGACUGAGAUACGGCCCAGACUCCUACGGGAGGCAGCAGUGGGGAAUAUUGCACAAUGGGCGGAAGCCUGAUGCAGCAACGCCGCGUGCGGGAUGACGGCCUUCGGGUUGUAAACCGCUUUCGCCUGUGACGAAGCGUGAGUGACGGUAAUGGGUAAAGAAGCACCGGCUAACUACGUG
rnacentral:rRNA from 1 species